rnacentral:lncRNA from 1 species
AUUCAGGAAUGUAUUGAGUUAGGGUGCAUCCAGAGACACAUCUUUGAAGUCUGAGGUGUUAUUGUAUAUUCACGAGGGUGUGGUAGUAACCUGUAGAAUGCAUUAAAUAUUCCCCUUGUAAUUAUAAGCAAUGGAGAUUUAAUGUGUGUUUUUUCAAAAACAUCAAAUUCAUAAAAAAAAGUAAAACAAAAAAAACAAAGUAUUUAAUCAAUUCCAAAAGGUCCCCAAUUGGAAGUUCAAAGUUCUUCAUAAAUCAUAAACAAACC